UACAGAGGGUGCAAGCGUUAAUCGGAAUUACUGGGCGUAAAGGGCGCGUAGGCGGUCCUAUAAGUCAGAUGUGAAAGCUCCGGGCUCAACCCGGGAAUUGCAUCUGAUACUGUAGGACUUGAGUUCGGUAGAGGAGGGCGGAAUUCCAGGUGUAGCGGUGAAAUGCGUAGAUAUCUGGAGGAACACCCGUGGCGAAGGCGGCUCUCUGGUCCGAAACUGACGCUGAGGUGCGAAAGCUAGGGUAGCAAACAGGAUUAGAUACCCGGGUAGU
rnacentral:rRNA from 1 species